UACGUAGGGUGCGAGCGUUAAUCGGAAUUACUGGGCGUAAAGUGUGCGCAGGCGGCCGAGCAAGUCGAGUGUGAAAGCCCCGGGCUUAACUUGGGAAUUGCGCUCGAAACUACUUGGCUGGAGUGUGGCAGAGGAGGGUGGAAUUCCACGUGUAGCGGUGAAAUGCGUAGAGAUGUGGAGGAACACCAAUGGCGAAGGCAGCCUUCUGGGCCAACACUGACGCUCAUGCACGAAAGCGUGGGGAGCAAACAGG
rnacentral:rRNA from 1 species